rnacentral:rRNA from 1 species
GUGGGGAAUCUUAGACAAUGGGGGAAACCCUGAUCUAGCCAUGCCGCGUGAGCGAUGAAGGCCUUAGGGUUGUAAAGCUCUUUCAGCUGGGAAGAUAAUGACGGUACCAGCAGAAGAAGCCCCGGCUAACUCCGUGCCAGCAGCCGCGGUAAUACGGAGGGGGCUAGCGUUGUUCGGAAUUACUGGGCGUAAGCGCGCGUAGGCGGACCAGAAAGUUGGAGGUGAAAUCCCAGGGCUCAACCUUGGAAUUGCCUUUGAUACUGGCUGUCUUGAGUACGGGAGAGGUGAGUGGAACUCCGAGUGUAGAGGUGAAAUUCGUAGAUAUUCGGAGGAACACCAGUGGCGAAGGCGGCUCACUGGCUCGAUACUGACGCUGAGGUGCGAAAGCGUGGGGAGCAAACAGGAUUAGAUACCCGUGUAGUCC